UACGAAAGGGGCUAGCGUUGAUCGGAAUUACUGGGCGUAAAGCGCACGUAGGCGGCUUUGCAAGGCGGGUGUGAAAUCCCCAGGCUUAACCUGGGAACUGCAUUCGAGACUGCGUUGCUAGAGUAUGGGAGAGGGUAGUGGAAUUUCCGGUGUAGCGGUGAAAUGCGUAGAUAUCCGAAAGAACAUCAGUGGCGAAGGCGGCUUGCUGGCACAUUACUGACGAUCAUGUGCGAAAGAGUGGGGAGCAAACAGG
rnacentral:rRNA from 1 species